AUUCUGGUUGAUCCUGCCAGUAGUUAUAUGCUUGUCUCAAAGAUUAAGCCAUGCAUGUCUAAGUACACACGAAUUAAAAGUGAAACCGCAAAAGGCUCAUUAUAUCAGUUAUGGUUCCUUAGAUCGUUAACAGUUACUUGGAUAACUGUGGUAAUUCUAGAGCUAAUACAUGCAAUUAAAACACGGACCUUAUGGGACGUGUGCUUUUAUUAGGCUAAAACCAAGCGAUCGCAAGAUCGUUACAUUGGUUGAAUUCUAGAUAACAUGCAGAUCGUAUGGUUUAGUACCGACGACAGAUCUUUCAAAUGUCUGCCCUAUCAACUUUUGAUGGUAGUAUCUAGGACUACCAUGGUUGCAACGGGUAACGGGGAAUCAGGGUUCGAUUCCGGAGAGGGAGCCUGAGAAACGGCUACCACAUCUAAGGAAGGCAGCAGGCGCGUAAAUUACCCACUCCCAGCUCGGGAAGGUACACUUUAAAUCCUUUAACAAGGACCAAUUGGAGGGCAAGUCUGGUGCCAGCAGCCGCGGUAAUUCCAGCUCCAAUAGCGUAUAUUAAAGUUGUUGCGGUUAAAACGUUCGUAGUUGAACUUGUGCUUCAUACGGGUAGUACAACUUACAAUUGUGGUUAGUACUAUACCUUUAUGUAUGUAAGCGUAUUACCGGUGGAGUUCUUAUAUAUAAUUAAGUACU
rnacentral:ncRNA from 1 species